rnacentral:rRNA from 1 species
UACGUAGGGUGCAAGCGUUGUCCGGAAUUAUUGGGCGGAAAGAGCUCGUAGGCGGUUUGUCGCGUCUGCUGUGAAAACCCGAGGCUCAACCUCGGGCCUGCAGUGGGUACGGGCAGACUAGAGUGCGGUAGGGGAGAUUGGAAUUCCUGGUGUAGCGGUGGAAUGCGCAGAUAUCAGGAGGAACACCGGUGGCGAAGGCGGUUCUCUGGGCAUGACCUGACGCUGAGGAGCGAAAGUGUGGGGAGCGAACAGG